ACAUGCACUAUAAGUAAUAUAUGUCUGUCCAUGACUUAAACCCACAGCUCAAGGUCUGACAGAGAGAGAUCUUCAUAUUCCAUUCCCGCAGAGUGUGUGUGUGAUCGUGCAAUAUCAACCCGACAUGAUUCUGGACAACAUCAGGAAAUCAGAUAUGGAUUGGAACUUGACCUAGAAUCUAAAAGGACAAACUCAGCUUUCUGGAAACCUUCAUCACCCGACUCAAACUGCAUCAAUGUGGUCAACUCCUUUCUGCGUCUCAAGUCCA